rnacentral:ncRNA from 1 species
AAUAUUAUUUGGCAUAGCUACUGAAAGGUAGUGACGCAAAGCUUUAGGGCCUUUUCCGUUUGGAUGGUAGCCAGCUGCACGA